UAUGAGGGAGGGGAGAGAGAGAGAAGGCGAUCCUUGUAACUAACAUUCCUUCUCCAUAUAUAGGGUGAGAGAUGGGGAUGGCGAUCGAGAUCGCAGCCGAUCCAAGAAUUUGAUCCUGAUGGAAGCCUCCGCUUCAUCCCACCCUGAUUUCUACGAUUUCCUCCCUCUCGGAUGUGGCAAUCGGUCGCCCGGAUCUCUUUUGCUCCAUCAAAAGGUUAUUUCUGAUAUCUUCGGCUCCAUCAUAUUGAGAUCAUGUUUCUUUUGGUGAUUCUUUGGUCAAUCUUGGUCGUGAGACGUAAGUUUGAUGAUAUUUGUGUUGGGUUCUCGACGUGGUGUUGUUGUUUUCUUUGCAUUUGAUUUCUAGGUUUUUAAUCUCUGGAUCUAUUUUCUUUAAGUGUUUGAAGGCUCUUUGGCGAUUUCUGUUGUGGGCAAAUCCUUAAUAUGGGACUGGGUUUAUGCUCCAUCACAUUGAGAUCGUGUCUCUUUAUAUAGAUUCUUUGGUUAAUCUUGGUCGUUGAAUCAUAAGUUCAAUGGUACUUGUGUAGGUUCUUUGAUGUGGUGUCGUUGUGUUGUUUUGUAGGUUCUUGGUCUCUAGAUAUGUUUUCAUGAAUUGACUGAACGUUCUUUGUCGAUUUCUGUUUUUUGAAAUUGUAAAUAUGGGACCGGGUUUGAUCGAUGAACUUGGAAUUGGAUGAUACCGGGAAGUGGUGUCAUUCGUUUCUUGGCUUUCCCUUAGAUUCCAGGGUGUUGAUCUCUGGAUCUGUAUCUUCCGAAGCUUCGGCGUUCUCUCCCGGUCGGAACUCCUUAAUUUAGGAUUGGGUUUGAUCAGUGAAUCGUGAAAUCGGUGAUACAAGUGGUGGUUCUUAGCAGUGGUGUCGUCGGUUUCUUGGUUUGUCUUUUUCUUAUUUAUAGUCUUAUCUCUAGAUCCGUUUUUUCUUGAAUUUCUUGAAGAUUUUGGCGAUUUCUCGCCUUCGGAAUUCCUUGAUUCGAGGCUGGGUUUAGUCCGUGAACAAUUUGAUGAUGGCGGUUAUGAUGUGGUUGGUUUCUCGAACGGGUUUAGUCAGUAAACCUACAAUUUGAUUUCUAGAAUUUUGAACUCUAGAUCUAUUUUCCUUUGAUUGCUUGAAGGCUUUGGCGGUUUCUCCCACACAUAAGUCCUUGAUUCGGUGGUACUGAAUCUAGUCGGUGAAUAGUGUAGUCAUGACAUUGGUUUCUUGUUCUUUCUUUUGAUUUAUAGGGUCUUGAUAUUUAAAUCUAUUUUCUCCUAUUCACACUAAUUUGUUAGACUAUUUUGUUAUGAUCAAUUUUCACUUAAUCUCCAAUUGGGCAAAGGUUGUGUUUCCUCCGUUUCUUGAAUUUAUUUAGGUUUCUAAAGGUUUGAUCUAUUUACAUGAAUUGUUGGAACGUUGUGGUGACCUCUUGUUACAUUCACGAUUCCCCAAGUCGAGAUUCCAUGUCUUUAUUUUUUUUUUUCUGGUGAUAUUUUGGUCAAUAUUAGGCUUUAAUCUAAACAACAUCAGCUCCUUGAUAUAUUAUUUCUGGAUGCUCUCUUGGAUGUUUAUCUGUAGGCCUGUUUUCAUGAUGGAUUUGGGGGGGGGGGGCGGGUUCCUUUGGUUCCACAUUGCUUGAAUUGAAUUGGUAAAUGGAAAUGUUGUUGUUUGGUUUCUCGGGUUGUAUCUUCCAGUCUGUUUUCUUGGAGGCUUUGGUCUCCUGUUGCAAAUUCUUAUAUGUUGUAAUUCGAUAAUUCAUGAUGCCUCGUGAUUUUUUUUUCCUCUUUGUUCACUGUGAGUUUUCAGAAUGUUUAGAGGAUUUUAACUUUUUUUAAUCAUAUUUUUUAUUACGAGAAUUUAUUAUGGAUGAUCUUGUUUGAACUCGUCAUCAAGCUGUUGAUAUUGUUUUGUAUGCUGUAUAUGGAAUUUUAUUGUCCAUUAUUUUCAUGAGGAUUCACCGUUGUUUUUCCUUUUUAAAUUUUUAUUAAACGUGGCCCGUCCCUUUUCGUUUCAUCGGGCAUCAACAAACUUAGAGCUUUAUUCAAGAUAAUUUGGUGGGAAAUCAUUUUGUUGGAUAUUUAGUUUUGUUCUACAUAAUUAUAAUCUCUGAACAAUAUCAUAAUAGCGUCCAUCAUCCAGAUUGGUAUGCAUUUGAAACCAUCUUGUUUGGUAAAAAUACCAUAAUAUAAUCUGGCUACACAAUUUCUCAGAUCAUAAACAUAAUUCUAAUGUAAGGACCAGGGGACUUUUGUUGUAAAGCAAUUGAUGAUAUUUCUAACCUACGUGCUUAGUUUAUUGUAUUUUAUAUGGCAGUCAAUCUUUCUUACUACUUUUAUAAUCAAUUGUUGCAACAAUAAUACAUGAUGAUGGCGUGCAAUUUUAUUUCUAUAAAAUGGUUCUAUUUCUUUCUUACUCCGAGUUUUCUUUUCUUUGUAAACUCUUUAUGAUAUUUAAUUGUUAUUGCGCGUGAUUCUUAAUUUCAAUUGCUGUCUCUUCAUGA
rnacentral:lncRNA from 1 species